AUACUUACCUGGCAGGGGAGAUACCAUGAUCACGAAGGUGGUUUUCCCAGGGCGAGGCUUAUCCAUUGCACUCCGGAUGUGCUGACCCCUGUGAUUUCCCCAAAUGUGGGAAACUCGACUGCAUAAUUUGUGGUAGUGGGGGACUGCAUUCGCGCUUUCCUCUG
rnacentral:snRNA from 1 species